rnacentral:rRNA from 1 species
CUCGUAGGCGGUUUGUCACGCCUGGUGUGAAAGUCCAUCGCUUAACGGUGGAUCUGCGCCGGGUACGGGCAGGCUAGAGUGCAGUAGGGGAGAUUGGAAUUCCCGGUGUAACGGUGGAAUGUGUAGAUAUCGGGAAGAACACCAAUGGCGAAGGCAGAUCUCUGGGCUGUUACUGACGCUGAGGAGCGAAAGCAUGGGGGACGAACA